rnacentral:lncRNA from 1 species
AAUGUCAUAAUAUUUAUUACAUAAUGAAAAUGUGUUACAAAAUAAUUGAUAAUAAAUAGAUCAAACUAAGAUAAUUAUUUCCUCGGCACCAACAACUGACUCGGAGACGACACUUAGAUCUCAUCGAACUCAUCAUAGUAGCCCUCCUCCAACAGUACCUGCUCUUCACCAGUGGGGGUUAUGGCAAGAGUGAGCUCACAAACGUUCAUCGCUCAGCAAGUAUGGAGAAUAAUGUGCAUGAGCUCAUGGUGGGGCUCAUGUGUAGUGUAAAGCUGAUCAACAAAUAAUGAUUAAGGUUGAGCAUUGCUUUUAAUAAGUUGGUCAAAAUUUUAUUAACAGUUACUAAGUAUAAGUAUAUGUCAACUCAAUUAAAUAAGAGAUCAUAAUUAAUAAUAAAUCCCACAAUGCAAUGCAAAUGACAUAUUAAGUUUAAUUCCAUAACUUACUCAUGCAAGGCUCCGACCGCUCAUGAACGUGAGCAUGGUGGAUAUGCUAGUUUUACACUCUGUAGAGGUUGCAUAUCUUUACUCACAAGUAGUGAUACCUAUCUACCACGGGUUCAUGAAUCCCAUACACCCUACGGAGGAGGCGAGGCAGGGUAGCACUUCGAGGCCUUUCCAAAGUUCCACUACAUGAGAGAACCUGCUACGGAUUAUGGACCGAAGACGAUAUAGGAAUCCCUUGUCCGAAAAGCUAAAAAGAUAGUCCGACACGAGGACCUCCCUACACCUGCACUCCUCCACCCCACUUGCCUCAUUCGGGAAAUGAUUAACUCACACUAGCGUUACUAAUUAAUUAGCCAAGGGCGUCCCAUUCCACCCUUGAGAUAGCAUUUUUUCUCGGGUGGUCGCUCCAUGUUCCAAUUAACAAUAAUCUUAUCAUGAACAAUAAAUACCAUUGACAGUAAUAAGCAUGAUCAUGAAUAAUAUGUAUCAUAACACCCUGAAACCACAUAGAGCAAUAGCAGAUACUACCAAAUAGUUCAGUGGAAAGCAUGGUGUUGAGUAGACAAAACUAGGGUAACCUAUUAGGUCCCAUCAAAUUAACCUGGGCAUGUCACAGUGAUUAACAGGAACAUUAUUGGCUAAAGAAGAGUGAUCAAGGGCACAACUUGCCUUCAGCGAACUCCUACUCAGAAUCUUCGACUUGCGAAGCUC